rnacentral:rRNA from 1 species
AACUUUCAGCAACGGAUCUCUUGGCUCUCGCAGUCGAUGAAGAACGCAGCGAAAUGCGAUAAGUAAUGUGAAUUGCAGAAUUCAGUGAAUCAUCGAAUCUUUGAACGCACCUUGCGCCCCUUGGCUAUUCCGAGGGGGCAUGCCUGUUUGAGUAUCA